GGUGAACGCUGGCGGCGUGCCUAAUACAUGCAAGUCGAGCGAACAGACGAGGAGCUUGCUCCUCUGACGUUAGCGGCGGACGGGUGAGUAACACGUGGAUAACCUACCUAUAAGACUGGGAUAACUUCGGGAAACCGGAGCUAAUACCGGAUAAUAUAUUGAACCGCAUGGUUCAAUAGUGAAAGACGCUUUUGCUGUCACUUAUAGAUGGAUCCGCGCCGCAUUAGCUAGUUGGUAAGGUAACGGCUUACCAAGGCAACGAUGCGUAGCCGACCUGAGAGGGUGAUCAGCCACACUGGAACUGAGACACGGUCCAGACUCCUACGGGAGGCAGCAGUAGGGAAUCUUCCGCAAUGGGCGAAAGCCUGACAGAGCAACGCCGCGUGAGUGAUGAAGGUCUUCGGAUCGUAAAGCUCUGUUAUUAGGGAAGAACAGCUGUGUAAGUAACUAUGCACGUCUUGACGGUACCUAAACAGAAAGCCACGGCUAACUACGUG
rnacentral:rRNA from 1 species